AACCCUAUUGUUGACUAAAGGAAAAAGUUCAGUUUAGGGUUUAAAAUCCUAAUGCUGACUGAAGGAAAGAGUUCAGUUUAGGGUUUAAAACCCUAAUGCUGACUGAAGGAAAAAGUUCAGUUUAGAGUUUAAAACCCUAAUGCUAACUGAAUGGAAAAAGUUCAGUUUAGGGUUUAAAACCCUAAUGCUGACUAAAGGAAAAGAGUUCAGUUUAGGGUUUAAAACCCUAAUGCUGACUAAAGGAAAAAGUUCAGUUUAGGAUUUAAAACCCUAAUGUUGACUGAAUGGAAAAAGUUCAGUUUAGGGUUUAAAACCCUAAUGCUGACUGAAGGAAAGAGUUUAGUUUAGGAUUUAAAACCCUAAUGCUAACUAAAUAAAAGAGUUCAGUUUAGGGUUUAAAACCCUAAUGCUGACUGAAUGGAAAAAGUUCAGUUUAGGGUUUAAACCCCUAAUGCUUACUAAAGGAAAAGAGUUCAGUUUAGGGUUUAAAACCCUAAUGCUGACUAAAGGAAAAAGUUUAGUUUAGGGUUUAAAACCCUAAUGCUGACUGAAUGGAAAAAGUUCAGUUUAGGGUUUAAACCACUAAUGCUGACU
rnacentral:lncRNA from 1 species